UUUUUAUACUUUAAACUUUGAUUUUAUUUUUAUGUUUUUUAAAUAUUGGUGUUUUUGAAUGUGUUGUUUAAAUAACAUAAAAAAUAAAAUAUAUAUUGACAUGUAUUAAACAAAGAUAUAUAUUAUUUUAUGUUGUAUAAAUAAAUUGGCAAAAUAGAGAUGGAAGAUAAAAAUAUGGUCAAAGUAAUAAGAGUCUAUGGUGAAUGCCUAGG
rnacentral:misc_RNA from 1 species